rnacentral:snRNA from 1 species
AUCGCUUCUCGGCCUUUUGGCUAAGAUCAAGUGUAGUAUCUGUUCUUAUCAGUUUAAUAAUGGGUGAACCUACAUUGACACAUCCAAGUCCAUAGUUUACAUUAGGGCUAAUUCUUGGUGUUCUACAUUGGUUUAGAUAACUAUACAAUGGCAUGUAUCCACCAUUAUAGUAUCAUAU